CCUACGGGGGGCUGCAGUGGGGAAUAUUGGACAAUGGGGGGAACCCUGAUCCAGCCAUGCCGCGUGUGUGAAGAAGGCCCUCGGGUUGUAAAGCACUUUCAGUGAGGAAGAACGCCUGGUGGUUAAUACCCAUCAGGAAAGACAUCACUCACAGAAGAAGCACCGGCUAACUCCGUGCCAGCAGCCGCGGUAAUACGGAGGGUGCGAGCGUUAAUCGGAAUUACUGGGCGUAAAGCGCGCGUAGGUGGCUUGAUAAGCCGGUUGUGAAAGCCCCGGGCUCAACCUGGGAACGGCAUCCGGAACUGUCAAGCUAGAGUGCAGGAGAGGAAGGGAGAAUUCCCGGUGUAGCGGUGAAAUGCGUAGAGAUCGGGAGGAAUACCAGUGGCGAAGGCGGCCUUCUGGACUGACACUGACACUGAGGUGCGAAAGCGUGGGUAGCAAACAGGAUUAGAUACCCCUAGUAGUC
rnacentral:rRNA from 1 species